rnacentral:rRNA from 1 species
AGCAGCCGCGGUAAUUCCAGCUCCAAUAGCGUAUAUUAAAGUUGCUGCAGUUAAAAAGCUCGUAGUUGAAUUUCGGGACCAUCAUGUCGGUCGUGCCUCGGUACGUACUGGCAUUGUUGGUUUCUCCCUUCUGACGAACCAUGAUGUCAUUUAUUUGGUGUCGUGGGAAAUCAGGACUGUUACUUUGAAAAAAUUGAGUGUUUAAAGCAGGCUCACGCUUGAAUACAUUAGCAUGGAAUAAUGAAAUAGGACGUUUGAUUCUAUUUUGUUGGUUUCUAGGAUCGACGUAAUGAUUAAUAGGGAUAGUUGGGGCAUUAGUAUUCAAUUGUCAGAGGUGAAAUUCUUGGAUUUAUUGAAGACUAACUACUGCGAAAGCAUUUGCCAAGGAUGUUUCAUUAAUCAAGAACGAAAGUUAGGGGAUCGAAGACGAUCAGAUACCGUCGUAGUCUUAACCAUAAACUAUGCCGACUAGGGAUCGGAUGAUGUUUAAUUUUUAAUGUACUCAUUCGGUACCG